CCUACGGGUGGCAGCAGUGAGGACUAUUGGUCAAUGGGCGCGAGCCUGAACCAGCCAAGUAGCGUUAAGGAUGCCUGCCCUACGGGUUGUACACUUCUUUUAUAAAGGCAUAAAGUGAGGCACGUGUGCCUUUUUGUAUGUACUUUAUGAAUAAGGAUCGGCUAACUCCGUGCCAGCAGCCGCGGUAAUACGGAGGAUCCGAGCGUUAUCCGGAUUUAUUGGGUUUAAGGGGAGCUCAGAUGGGUUGUUAAGUCAGUUGUGAAAGUUUGUGGCUCAACCGUAAAAUUGCAAUUGAUACUGGCAGCCUUGAGUACAGUUGAGGUAGGCGGAAUGCGUGGUGUAGCGGUGAAAUGCUUAGAUAGCACGAAGAACUCCGAUUGCGAAGGCAGCUUACUAAACUGCCACUGACAUUGAUGCUCGAAAGUGUGGGUAUCAAACAGGAUUAGAUACCCCUGUAGUC
rnacentral:rRNA from 1 species